AUCCAAGGGAUAGCUCAGCUGGUAGAACAUGAGACUCUUAUUUAAUCUCAGGGUCAUGGGUUCAAGCCUCAUGUUGGACA